rnacentral:rRNA from 1 species
UACGAAGGGGGCUAGCGUUGCUCGGAAUUACUGGGCGUAAAGCGCGCGUAGGCGGGUCGUUAAGUCGGGGGUGAAAUCCUGGAGCUCAACUCCAGAACUGCCUUCGAUACUGGCGAUCUUGAGUCCGGGAGAGGUGAGUGGAACUCCGAGUGUAGAGGUGAAAUUCGUAGAGAUGUGGAGGAACACCAGUGGCGAAGGCGACUCUUUGGUCUGUAACUGACGCUGAGGCGCGAAAGCGUGGGGAGCAAACAGG